CCAACUGCCAUGUUAGGAUGAUGGAUGAAGACUAGGAGCUGUAGAGAAGGGUAAGCCAGCGUUAAUUUCUGGCUGGUGUACAUAGCUUCAGCCAAACAAAAACUUCACAGAAAUAAAACAGGCAGGAGAAGAGCAGAUCAAGAGCAGAGGUAGAAUUAGGAACCAUGGAAAACUGCAAAAGAAAGGUAAAGGGAGAGGCUCAAAGCCCAGACAUCGGCAGAAUGUGUCUCUGUCACCGAAGGGACCAGAAGAGAGUUGGUCUGGCAGACCAGAACAAGCAGUGAUGGAAGAAACCCCUGGAAAAGAAAGUGCUCAGAGGGAUCCAUAUUUACCCAACUUGCAGCUGGGCCAUCCCAAACCUGCUGUGGGGUUGUUAGUCUUUGACAGUCAUUUACCGAAGUCAUAUCAAGAAAAAAAGGUUUGGUCUCUCCAUUGUUCUAAGGAUAGUAGACAAGAAGGAAAAGAUUCCAUGAGUUGAGCAACUUUCCUCUGCUACACUGGUCUGCCUUGAUGUUUCUGCUUCACUUCAGUCUCAGAACAAUGGAGACAGAGGACCAUGGAUUGAAAUCUCU